GAUGAAUGCUAGCAGUGCGCCUGAGAUAUGCAAGUCGAGCGUUGCCUUGGAAAGAGCUUGCUCUUUUCGGGGAAGCGGCGGACGGCUGAGUAACACGUAGGUACUUACCCCUAGGUAGGGAAUAGCUCACCGAAAGGUGGGGUAAUGCCCUAUGGUCUCCAACUUUGUUGGAGUAAAAUCUUCGGACGCCAAGGGAGAGACCUGCGGCCUAUCAGGUAGUUGGUGUGAUAAUAGCGCACCAAGCCUACGACGGGUAGCUGGCCUCAUGAGGGUGGUCAGCCGGAGGGGGACUGAGACACGGCCCCCACUCCUACGGGAGGCAGCAAUCAGGAAUCGUCGGCAAUGGGGGAAACCCUGACCGCGCGACACUGCGUGUAGGAUGAAGUUCGAAAGAGCGUAAACUACUGUGGUAUAGGAAGAAGGCAUAACGUAAGUUAUGUUUGACGGUACUAUACUAGAAAGGGGCCGCUAACUGCGUGCCAGAAGCGUCGGUAAUACGUGGGCCCCAAGCAUUAUCCGGUUUAAUUGGGCGUAAAGGGUCGUGUAGGCGGAUAGGUAAGUUAUCUUUAAAAUUCAGAGGCUUAACCUCUGACCUGGGGGUAAUACUGCCAAUCUGGAGUUUUCUUUAGGGUAAGCGGAACUGAGUGAGGAGCAGUGAGAUGCGUUGAUACACUCGGGGACACCAGUGGCGAAGGCGGCUUACUGGAAGAAGACUGACGCUGAGACACGAAAGCUAGGGUAGCGGAGCAGAUUAGAGACCUGCGUAGUCCUAGCCCUAAACGAAUGUUCGCUAGCUGCAUUGGUCAACCCUUGUGGUUGAACAGUGUGGCGAAGGUAACCCGUUAAGCGAACCGCCUGGGGAGUACGGCCGCAAGGCUAAAACUCAAAGGAAUUGGCGGGGAGGCACACAACCAGUGGAACAUGUGGCUUAAUUCGAAACAAACCGAAGAACCUCACCAGGGUUUGACAUGCAACUGCAAGUCUUAUGAAAGUAGGACGCCUUAGAGGGUGUUGCACAGGUGCUGCGUGGCUGUCGUCAGUUCGUUCCGUGAGGAGU
rnacentral:rRNA from 1 species